UACGUAGGGUGCAAGCGUUGUCCGGAAUUAUUGGGCGUAAAGAGCUCGUAGGCGGUCAGUCGCGUCUGCUGUGAAAACUCGGGGCUUAACUCCGGGCCUGCAGUCGAUACGGGCAGGCUAGAGGUAGGUAGGGGAGAAUGGAAUUCCCGGUGUAGCGGUGAAAUGCGCAGAUAUCGGGAGGAACACCGGUGGCGAAGGCGGUUCUCUGGGCCUUACCUGACGCUGAGGAGCGAAAGCGUGGGGAGCGAACAGG
rnacentral:rRNA from 1 species